GUCCUUGUAGCUUAAACAAAGCAUAACACUGAAGAUGUUAAGAUGGCUACACCUCAUACCCAAGGACA
rnacentral:tRNA from 1 species